rnacentral:lncRNA from 1 species
CCUCAAUUAGCUAACAUAGCCUCUUGUAUUCAAUCUAAACACGUAUAUACAACCUAAAUCCCUCUUUUAACACAUAAUUCACUAUCUUGGAACUCAUUUCCUAACUAAUUUAACUUAGUCCAAAGCCGAAUGCUAUUUGAGCAUUAAGCUCAUGUUCUUUUCAUUAUUAAGCAAGUAUUAUAACUCAACUAACUUCAUUAGCCGACUACUCAAGCUCAUUUGAGCCACAUAUAGUAAUUUAGUUUGUUUAUACUCAAUUAGAAACAUUUCUCCUUACAAAUUAUCAAAACAUACACAAUGUAACCCAUUGAGCUCAUGACCGAAUGCUUCAUGCAUCACAAACACAAAAUCAUAUACAUGGGUCAUUUUAGGAGCUUUAAAACCAAUUUAAAUUUCUCAAAAUCCAAAUAAAAACAUAUGAAAUCAUACCUUAAUUCCCAACACAAGAUGGCCGAAUUCCUUAGGUGUUCUUUCUUCCAUUUUUCUUUUUCUUUUCCUUAUGGUUUCGGCAAGAUGAAAAAAAAGAUGAUGGAACUUUGUUUUUAUCACCACUACUAAUAUAAAUUUAUUAUUUCAAUAGAUAAAAAUCAUUUUAUAAUAAAAUGUUUAUUUAUAUCUUUAUUAUACAUAAUUCCCACCAAUUAAAAAUGGAGACAAGAGAACACAUUGUUACAUGCAUGUGUUGGUCGGCCAUUUACAUUCAAAAAUGGUGUAAUUGACAUGCAAGUCCACAUUUUUGAAUACAUGCUCUAUUAGAUCACUUUAUAUAUUUACCUAACCUAUUUUACCAAUGUUUCACAUAAGUCCCGUUUCAAAAUUUCACAUACAAAUGGCAAAAUUAAUGCUUGAAAUUUUUACACAUGCAUUUACUCACCUCAUGAACAUAGAAUAUAACUUUCAAUUAUUUAUAAAACUCAGUUUCGUGGUCUCGAAACCACUUUUCGACUAGGGUCAGAUUAGGGGUGUCACAACUCUCCCCCCCUUUAGGGAUUUUCGUCCCCGAAAAUUUCUACCGAUGCAUAGUUUAGGAUAACGUCCUCUUAUUGAAUUAUAUCCAUUUAAAUAUUAGCUCAUCGAUAGAAUUGUAAUUCAUUACUGAUUUCGCAUCGAUCUAUAAAAUCAUUUUCUUAUCUUAAAACAAAUACAUAAACAUUUCUACAAGUAUGCACAUAUAUCUCAUUUUCUUGAUUUCAUAAGCAAUAAUCACUUAAUUUAAUUCACAAAUGCAUUUCAAACACAUAUUAAGCACAUAUUAACAUGUAUAAUUCACAUCAUCAACCCACAUAUUUGUAACCCACAUUUCCAUUCAUGUAUAAGCUGUAACCUGACCGAAAGUACACACAUACUCAAACACCCCAAUAAAUAUCCUUUAUAACUCCAUCAUAUCUCGCCAUUCAACUUAACCUAUUUCCAACGGAAAAUCAACUUCGACAUACCUGAACAUUGAAUUCAUUUAGCACAUUCAAUCACAGUUAACAAUACCCGUAUACAAUCAAUUAGGCAUAAAACCUCAUAUAGUAUACCGGCAUGGGAUUUAUUUUAGCACAUAACUCAUAUAUCCAAAAUUAUCACAAUUCAUCAGAAAUUCUUACCAACUUUCAAAUGUUGAAACUUAAUCGAAAUAAUUUCUUGAACAUGAUUAACAAAAUAGUGUUUAUUCACAAUAGCACAUAUAACUGCAUAUACCGAGAAUCUCAUAUUUAUAAUGUAUAUAUAUAUCACAUACCUUGUCAAUUUAAUGUCUCGAACUUAUUUCAUUACCCAUUUAGCACGAUGUUGUAUAAUCUCCGACUCUAAUUAGUUCACCAGUGUCUAGUCCGUUUAACGAAUUUUCUCUUUAAGUCUUACUUACUAUUACAAAUCAAUGCCAUCGUCUCACACGAGGUCAUACAUGAAACACACUUCGCAUACUCAGUGCCCACUAACUGAUUUUGCACACAUAGUGCUCGAUUAAAGAACUCGCACACAUAGUGCCUCAACUACUAAUCUGGCACACAGAGUGCUCAGUUGAAGAGCUUGCACACACAGUGCCUUAUAAUUCCAGCACGAAUGCCUUCGAGGUUUAGCCCGGAUAUAUCACCAGCACUAAUGCUCUUCGGGACUUAGCCCGGAUAUAACACCAGCACGAAUGCUCUUCGGGACUUAGCCCGGAUAUAACACUCGCACGAAUGCUCUUCGGGACUUAGCCCGGAUAUAUCACUAGCACAAAUGCUCUUCGGGACUUAGCCCGGAUAUAUCACUAGCACGAAUGCUCUUCGGGACUUAGCCCGGAUAUAACACCAGCACUAAUGCUCUUCGGGACUUAGCCCGGAUAUAUCACUAGCACGAAUGCUCUUCGGGACUUAGCCCGGAUAUAUAACUCUCAAUUCUCAUGUACAUAUACAUAUAUAACAAUACACAUUAGUAUAUCAUUUACAUUACUUGAAUACAAACACAACAUGCUUAUCGACCAUUCAACUUUCAGUUCCAUAGCCAUAUACAAUGAUCACAUUUAUAGUCGUAACACUCUUUCAAAAUUGCAUCACUUAUACCCUUAUAAUUCAAUCCAAAUCAAAAUUCAAAUACGAGUACAUGAUACGUACCUGAUCAACUUAAUAAUUUAAGCAUAUCCAAGUGAAGUUAUAUCACAAAUUCUCAUAGUCAGAAGCUUGCUAUAGCUCGAUCGGGAUCAAGAUUCAUUACAAUACCACAAACACAUUUUAAUAGUCAAAAAUCAUCACUCAUGUUAGUCCUAGAAUCAACUAAAUCGUGGCUCUAAUACCAAAAUAAAAUGUAACACCCUUAUCCCGUAUCCGUCGCCGGAAUAGGUAAAGGAGCAUUACCGGACUUGAAACUCAUAUCAGAACAAUAAAAAUUUUGAUUUUUUUUUAUAAAGAACAUUCCUUUAGGUAAAUACUAAAGACAGUCAGGGAUACAAUUUAAACUUCUAUAAGUACACAUUCAAAAGAUGCCAUUUUUGCAUGGCUUAUAUACAUUAACCAAAAUAUUCUUCAGCCACUGGUCUAUUCUUUACAUGCCAUAAAUUAAUUCAAAACAUAACAGUAACAAGCAGUGGAUAGUGAUAGUGUGACUAGUUGCUGACGAUCCCCGAGCCUGUAGCUUCCAAAUGAGAUCUAUAAAAUAGAGGAAACAAAGUAAACGGAGUAAGCAUUACAAUGCUUAGUACGUUUUAAGCAGUGUCAACAGAUAACAAUCAAAUUAUAACAUAGUUGUUCGUAUUUUUAUUUCACUCUUCCUUCGGCAUACCAUCCCUUUACCGAAUAUGCACAUCUCAUCAUAUAUAAUAGGUAGAUAAACUUUCACAUAAAAGUGAGCUCAUGUGACAUAUAUAUAUUGUAUAAUUUCACAUAACCCCUCACACUGGUCCGAUGUCACAAAAUCAUAGGAAUAGUCUCAUAGAUUGCUCACGUAUGCAUCACAUAACUACCUUAUGAUUUAGUUCAAAUCAAGCUCACAUAUAAACUUGGAGUACAUACCUGUUUAACCUUUCGCAUUGAAUAUAUUUAUAAGCAAUUCUUAUUACGAAGUCUUAUAGCUUUAAACUUUACUCGGAUUAUCGGUGAGACCUUUAGCUUAGAUGAAAUCUCCACACGAAGUCAGCGGGUCUUAACCCAGACAUAGUCACCACAUAUGGUCAUCUGGUCUUUAAUCCCGGGUUUACAUCAUAGAGUUUCAUGCAUAUUUAUUCACAUGUUACAAUAUUCACAUCGACUAUCAUAUCUGUAAUUCAUUUACCUCAUCAAAUAUCUAAUAAAACACACCUUCCGCCGUCUGUCAUUUGGCCACAAUAUAUAUAUACACAUCUCAUACAUAUCUCACAUUAGCCAUUCGGCUUCGCCACAUAUAUACACUUCCACGUUUAUCACAUUGGCCAUUCUACCUUAUCACACAUAUGCAUGUUCACAUUCAUCACAUUGGCCAUUCGGCCUUAUCACAUAUAUACACUUCCACGUUUAUCACAUUGGCCAUUCGGCCUUAUCACACAUAUGCAUGUUCACAUUUAUCACAUUGGCCAUUCGGCCUUAUCACAUAUAUACACUUCCACGUUUAUCACAUUGGCCAUUCGGCCUUAUCACACAUAUGCAUGUUCACAUUCAUCACAUUGGCCAUUCGGCCUUAUCACAUAUAUACACUUCCACGUUUAUCACAUUGGCCAUUCGGCCUUAUCACACAUAUGCAUGUUCACAUUCAUCAUAUUGGCCAUUCGGCCUUAUCACAUAUAUACACUUCCACGUUUAUCACAUUGGCCAUUCUACCUUAUCACACAUAUGCAUGUUCACAUUCAUCACAUUGGCCAUUCGGCCUUAUCACACAUAUGCAUGUUCACAUUCAUCUCAUAAAAUCCUAAAUCAAAAUAUAAAUUUUCAUGUAUUCACAUCACAAUUAUCCAAAUAUACUUCACAUACCACAUAUACUUUCAUGUAUACACUUUGUCUUGGCUGAAUCUACAUCUAUCAUUUUCCAAUGAAUAAUUCAAUUUCAUGCCAUACUAUCAUUUCAUAUUCGAAUACUUAUAAACUUAAAAUUUCACAAAUUUUAAUAUCAAAGAUCCAUCUAACACUCAUAUAUCAUUUUACAAUAUCACAAUUUAGAAUUCACGUAUGGGUUUAAUCAAUAUCUUAUGAGCAACUAAAACAAGUUUUAUCCAUGUUUACAACAUAACCACAAAUUCUCUACAUGCUGUUUUCCUGAGCAACAGUCGCUAAAUUAUUUGUAACUGGGGCUACGAAAUUCCAAAUUAUGUGCCGUUAAUUUUCCAUGAAAAUAGACUCGUAUAUCCUCUAUCCACAAAAUUUUCAGAAUUUUUGGUUUGGCCAAUCAAUACCAGAUUUUUCUUAAAAUUUCCCCUAUUUUACUGCUUGACUACUCUGACUACUCUUCACUAAGAAUUUAAUUUCUCAUUGUACCGAAUUCAAAAUAUGUUUUCGUUUAUUUUGUUUGAAACUAGACUCAUUAAGGAGUCUAACCAUAUAAUUUUAUCUUGUAUUCAUUUUUGUACGAUUUAUAAUGAUUUUCCAAAUACUGAACAGGGGAUUUCGGAGCCAUUCUGACUCUGUCUCACACAACUUUGAAAAUCUCAUUAUCGGCAACCCCUUUACUUACACGAUUUCUUUUAUACGAAACUAGACGCAUCAAGCUUUAAUUACAUAAUUUAUUCAGCCUUUAACUCAACUCCCACAAUUUAUGGUAAUUUUUCCAAAACACGCUACUGCUGCUGUCCCUAGCAGAUUUAUACAAUUUACUCUGUAAAGUUCUCAUUCACAUAUUUAAAACAUAAUAUCAUAUAUGCCGUCAUUUAGAAAAGUCAUUGACCUUAACUUAUAUACAUAAUUCAUAUUCAUCCCGUUUUAAAACUUAAAACUUACAAAGGAAUCAAACUCAAUUACUUAAGAACUUACCUCGGAAAUUGUCGAACGAUUACAGAUUGACUAUUCGGUUAGGUAGCUUUUUCUCUUAUCCGAAUUAGACUCCCUAAGCUCUUGAGCUUGAAUAAACAAAUUCAAUCUAUUACAAACCAAUUAUACAAACUCAUGGCCGAAUAUAACAAGAAGACUAACUAGAUUCUACUAGCCACUCAUUGCUCUAUUAUUAACCUUACUUAAUUAUAAACACAUUCGACAAUUACCUCAACCUUAUUUAAUACAAUUAACACCGAAUUCCUCAUGUAAAAAGUACCAUUGCCGAAUACCAUUUAGUUCACCUUAAUCCAUCUCAUGAUCGAAUGCCUUUAAGCUUAAUAUCAUGGUAUCAUAACUCAACAUUUAUCAAUAUGUCAUUAACAAAAUAUGCUCAUGUCAAAUUUACUCCCAAUCACAUCUCAAAAUUCAACAAGCGUAUAACUCAUUUAAUAAUUAAAUUCCAUUUCAAAGUAUCAAAACAUUAUCAAAUGUAUACUCAUCCUAAAUGACCGAAUGCACAUUAACUAAGCACUUAACAAUUUUCGUUAGCCAUUGAACUCAUUCGGCAAUGAUAAGGACAAAUUUAACAAACCUUAAAUUUAACUUAUAAUUGUACAUAUCUCAUUCAAAACAUCGACACCAAUUUAUUAUCCAAUCAACCAUAUCCGAAAACCUAUCAUACAAUUAAAACCCUUGUUCAAAUUAUUAUUCACUAUAAUACUAUGGCCGAAUCCCUCAAUUAGCUAACAUAGCCUCUUGUAUUCAAUCUAAACACGUAUAUACAACCUAAAUCCCUCUUUUAACACAUAAUUCACUAUCUUGGAACUCAUUUCCUAACUAAUUUAACUUAGUCCAAAGCCGAAUGCUAUUUGAGCAUUAAGCUCAUGUUCUUUUCAUUAUUAAGCAAGUAUUAUAACUCAACUAACUUCAUUAGCCGACUACUCAAGCUCAUUUGAGCCACAUAUAGUAAUUUAGUUUGUUUAUACUCAAUUAGAAACAUUUC